rnacentral:rRNA from 1 species
AACGAACGCUGGCAGCAGGCCUAACACAUGCAAGUCGAGCGAGGACUUCGGUUCUAGCGGCGGACGGGUGAGUAACGCGUGGGAAUGUGCCCUUCUCUACGGAAUAGCCCUGGGAAACUGGGAGUAAUACCGUAUACGCCCUAUUGGGGAAAGAUUUAUCGGAGAAGGAUCAGCCCGCGUUGGAUUAGGUAGUUGGUGGGGUAAUGGCCUACCAAGCCGACGAUCCAUAGCUGGUUUGAGAGGAUGAUCAGCCACACUGGGACUGAGACACGGCCCAGACUCCUACGGGAGGCAGCAGUGGGGAAUCUUAGACAAUGGGGGCAACCCUGAUCGAGCCAUGCCGCGUGAGUGAUGAAGGCCUUAGGGUUGUAAAGCUCUUUCAGCUGGGAAGAUAAUGACGGUACCAGCAGAAGAAGCCCCGGCUAACUCCGUG